rnacentral:rRNA from 1 species
UACGAGGGGUGCAAGCGUUGUUCGGAAUCACUGGGCGUAAAGGGAGCGUAGGCGGAAUCCCAAGUCGGUCGUUUAAUGCCGGGGCCCAACCCCGGACCUGCGGUCGAUACUGGGUUUCUUGAGUUAUUUAGAGGCAAGCGGAAUUCCAGGUGUAGCGGUGGAAUGCGUAGAGAUCUGGAAGAACACCAAUGGCGAAGGCAGCUUGCUGGGAAUAUACUGACGCUGAUGCUCGAAAGCGCGGGUAGCAAACAGG